rnacentral:rRNA from 1 species
UACGUAGGCAGCAAGCGUUGUUCGGAGUUACUGGGCGUAAAGGGUGCGUAGGCGGCUUUUUAAGUUUGGUGUGAAAUCUCCCGGCUCAACUGGGAGGGUGCGCCGAAUACUGAGAGGCUAGAGUGUGGGAGAGGAAAGUGGAAUUCCUGGUGUAGCGGUGAAAUGCGUAGAUAUCAGGAGGAACACCGGUGGUGUAAACGGCUUUCUGGACCAUAACUGACGCUGAGGCACGAAAGCUAGGGGAGCGAACAGG